rnacentral:lncRNA from 1 species
GUGUGCUCUUCCGAUCUAGGGCACUUACCCAUUGCAGUGAAGACAAAACUUUUAGAAAUGAAAUAAGUAAGAUAAAGAAGGUAGCUAUAGCACAUGGAUACAAUAAGAAAUUAAUAAAUAAGCUACUAACAGAAGAGAGAGGGAAGAAAGAAGGGAGCACUGCCAAGAAGAGCAAGAUCCAGAACAAUAAGGCCAUCAAAGAACAAGUGGGAAUGAAUAUACAGUGAUAUCAGAGAUAAUAGGUGAUUUUAGAACAAUAAAGAACAUAAUGAAAAAGAAAAAUAAAAGACCUGCAUACAAGAGACCGAGUACGAUAUUCAGUCUGCUGAAGAAUGUGAAAGACAAGUAUAACAAAGAAGCGAGAACAGGUAUAUAUGAUAUUCUCCUGAGAAACUUGGAUGAAGGGAUAGAUGAAGUGUGCUUAGGUGUGACAUCAAGGAAUUUGAAGAAUAGGAUAGCUGAGCACAGAAAAGACAUAGAAAAUGCAAACUCAAGAAUGGCCCUUGGCAAGAAAAGCAUACAAAAACAAUGUCAAUGUGAAAUUGACAGGAUAGUAAAAUAAUUAAAAGCAUUGUGAAGCUGGAAGAACUUCCCAUCAUGGAGAACAUACAGAUAUUUAAAAAGAGGCAGAACAUGAUAGUUAUCAAUAAUAAGCAAACAGAAGCUAUACAAAAGCCAUGGAAAUACCUGCUCAAAUGUUAACCCCAACCU